rnacentral:rRNA from 1 species
CCUACGGGUGACAGCAGUGAGGAAUAUUGGUCAAUGGGCGCAAGCCUGAACCAGCCAAGUAGCGUGAAGGAUGACUGCCCUACGGGUUGUAAACUUCUUUUAUACGGGCGUAAAGUGAGUCACGUGUGCCUUAUUGUAUGUACUUUAUGAAUAAGGAUCGGCUAACUCCGUGCCAGCAGCCGCGGUAAUACGGAGGAUCCGAGCGUUAUCCGGAUUUAUUGGGUUUAAAGGGAGCGGAGAUGGGUAAGUAAGUCAGUUGUGAAAGGUAGGGGCUCAACCGUAACAGUGCAUUUGAAACUGGUAGUAUUGAGUACGGUUGAGGUAGGCGGAAUUCGUGGUGUAGCGGUGAAAUGCGUAGAUAUCACGAAGAACUCCGAUUGCGAAGGCAGCCUACUAAACUGCCACUGACACUGAGGCUCGAAAGUGUGGGUAUCAAACAGGAUUAGAUACCCCUGUAGUC